GGGGAAGUGUCAGUGAUUUCUUGUAUGUUCUCUGAGUGUCUGAGUGGUAUGGUGUAGGAGCAUUGUUAGAGGGUUUAAGGCUAUUUCAUUGCCUGUAAUUUCUUGGAUUUUGGCGCGGAUCAUUUCCCAGAAUGGGGCAAUGGAGGGGCACGACAACCAGAUGUGGGGGUUUGUACCCGCUUCCGAGCCACAUCUCCAGCAUGUGCCUGGUAUGUCUGCGUGCAUGUGAUGUAAGACAUCCAGUGUCCUGUUCCAUAGUGUGAGAAGUAUGUAGCCUUCUUCCUGGUAUCUCGAACUGAUAAAGCAUUUGUGCAUUAGUGUGAAUAUUUUGUCCAUUCUUGUGUGGUGAGAGUCGUCCCCGUGUCUCUUUCCCAUUUGCUUAUCCUACGUGGGUAUUGCUAUUUUUUUAUUG